GCUGGGCAUGGUGGCGCGUGCCUGUAGUCCCAGCUACUCAGGAGGCCAAGGCAGGCGAAUCACUUGAACCCGGGGGUACAGGUUGCAGUGAGUCGAGAUCGUGCCACUGCACUCCAGCCUGGGUGACAGAGUGAGACCCUGUCUCAA
ensembl:misc_RNA Metazoa_SRP Metazoan signal recognition particle RNA